GAUGAACGCUAGCUACAGGCUUAACACAUGCAAGUCGAGGGGAAACGACAUUGAAGCUUGCUUCGAUGGGCGUCGACCGGCGCACGGGUGAGUAACGCGUAUCCAACCUGCCUCUGACUAAGGGAUAACCCGGCGAAAGUCGGACUAAUACCUUAUGAGGUUUUCUGCAGACAUCUAAUGAAAACGAAAGAUUUAUCGGUCAGCGAUGGGGAUGCGUCUGAUUAGCUUGUUGGCGGGGUAACGGCCCACCAAGGCAACGAUCAGUAGGGGUUCUGAGAGGAAGGUCCCCCACAUUGGAACUGAGACACGGUCCAAACUCCUACGGGAGGCAGCAGUGAGGAAUAUUGGUCAAUGGGCGAGAGCCUGAACCAGCCAAGUAGCGUGCAGGAUGACGGCCCUAUGGGUUGUAAACUGCUUUUAUGUGGGGAUAAAGUGAGCUACGUGUAGUUUAUUGCAGGUACCACAUGAAUAAGGACCGGCUAAUUCCGUGCCAGCAGCCGCGGUAAUACGGAAGGUCCAGGCGUUAUCCGGAUUUAUUGGGUUUAAAGGGAGCGUAGGCCGUGGAUUAAGCGUGUUGUGAAAUGUAGACGCUCAACGUCUGAAUUGCGGCGCGAACUGGUUCACUUGAGUAUGCACAACGUAGGCGGAAUUCGUCGUGUAGCGGUGAAAUGCUUAGAUAUGACGAAGAACUCCGAUUGCGAAGGCAGCUUACGGGAGCACAACUGACGCUGAAGCUCGAAGGUGCGGGUAUCAAACAGG
rnacentral:rRNA from 1 species